AUUGAACGCUGGCGGCAUGCCUUACACAUGCAAGUCGAACGGCAGCACGGGAGCAAUCCUGGUGGCGAGUGGCGAACGGGUGAGUAAUAUAUCGGAACGUGCCCAGUCGUGGGGGAUAACGUAGCGAAAGUUACGCUAAUACCGCAUACGAUCUAAGGAUGAAAGCGGGGGAUCGCAAGACCUCGCGCGAUUGGAGCGGCCGAUAUCAGAUUAGGUAGUUGGUGAGGUAAAGGCUCACCAAGCCAACGAUCUGUAGCUGGUCUGAGAGGACGACCAGCCACACUGGAACUGAGACACGGUCCAGACUCCUACGGGAGGCAGCAGUGGGGAAUUUUGGACAAUGGGCGCAAGCCUGAUCCAGCAAUGCCGCGUGCAGGAUGAAGGCC
rnacentral:rRNA from 1 species